rnacentral:rRNA from 1 species
AUUGAACGCUGGCGGCAGGCUUAACACAUGCAAGUCGAGCGGGGUGAUGGUGCUUGCACUAUCACUUAGCGGCGGACGGGUGAGUAAUGCUUAGGAAUCUGCCAAUUAGUGGGGGACAACAUCUCGAAAGGGAUGCUAAUACCGCAUACGUCCUACGGGAGAAAGCAGGGGAUCACUUGUGACCUUGCGCUAAUAGAUGAGCCUAAGUCGGAUUAGCUAGUUGGUGGGGUAAAGGCCUACCAAGGCGACGAUCUGUAGCGGGUCUGAGAGGAUGAUCCGCCACACUGGGACUGAGACACGGCCCAGACUCCUACGGGAGGCAGCAGUGGGGAAUAUUGGACAAUGGGGGGAACCCUGAUCCAGCCAUGCCGCGUGUGUGAAGAAGGCCUUAUGGUUGUAAAGCACUUUAAGCGAGGAGGAGGCUCUCUUGGUUAAUACCCAAGAUGAGUGGACGUUACUCGCAGAAUAAGCACCGGCUAACUCUGUGCCAGCCGCCGCAGUAA